GGGUCGUAAACUUCUUUUAUAUGGGAAUAAAGUUUUCCACGUGUGGAAUUUUGUAUGUACCAUAUGAAUAAGGAUCGGCUAACUCCGUGCCAGCAGCCGCGGUAAUACGGAGGAUCCGAGCGUUAUCCGGAUUUAUUGGGUUUAAAGGGAGCGUAGGUGGAUUGUUAAGUCAGUUGUGAAAGCUUGCGGCUCAACCGUAAAAUUGCAGUUGAAACUGGCAGUCUUGAGUACAGUAGAGGUGGGCGGAAUUCGUGGUGUAGCGGUGAAAUGCUUAGAUAUCACGAAGAACUCCGAUUGCGAAGGCAGCUCACUAGACUGUUACUGACACUGAUGCUCGAAAGUGUGGGUAUCAAACAGGAUUAGAUACCCUGGUAGUCCACACAGUAAA
rnacentral:rRNA from 1 species